rnacentral:lncRNA from 1 species
CAGAGGUCCGUGGGCUGCUAAAGACCCGUGAUGACGCAUUCAGAUCGGGAGACAAAGCAGUCCUCAAAACAGCAAGAGCUAACCUGUCCCGUGGCAUCAAGAAAGCAAAACGGUUAUAUGCACUAAAAAUCAAUAAUCACUUCAGUGACAGCAAGGACACACGGAGUCUGUGGCAAGCUAUUCAGACCAUCACAGACUACAAGCCCCUGCCACAGGCCUGUGAUGACGACACAUCCCUCUCAGAUGCACUUAAUGAGUUCCAUGCACGGUUUGAAAUGCAGAAUGACAAGUCUGCACACAAACUACCCACACCUCCCAAUGACCAGGUGCUCUAUCUGUCUCCAGUCGAUGUAAGGAAGACCCUAUCUAGAGUUAACCCACGCAAGGCUGCAGGUCCUGACAACAUACCAGGCUGAGUACUGAGGUACUGUGCUGAACAGCUGACAGAUGUCAGACAUCUUUAACAUCUCAUUAAGCCAAGCAGUUGUCCCCACAUGUCUCAAGUCCACCACCAUCAUCCCAGUACCAAAGAAGUCACCUGUGUCCUGCCUGAAUGACUAUCGUCCCAUAGUACUGACCCCAAUCAUGAUGAAGUGCUUUGAGAGAUUAGUCAUGCACCAUAUCAAAUCCAAUCUCCCCAACACACUUGACCCGCUCCAGUUUGCAUACCGUCCAAACCGCUCUACGGACGAUGCCAUCUCCUCCACUCUCCACCUGGCUCUUACCCAUUUGGAAAACAAAGACUCUGUUAGAUUGCUGUUCAUCGACUUCAGCUCAGCAUUCAACACAAUAAUCCCACAACAGCUCAUCAGCAAACUAAACCUGCUGGGCCUAAAUGCCUCCCUCUGUAAUUGGAUGCUGGACUUUCUAACCGGAAGACCUCAGUCAGUCCGUGUCGGCCACAACACCUCCAGCACUACCACACUGAGCACAGGUGCCCCACAAGGCUGUGUGCUCAGCCCGCUGCUCUUUACGCUGCUGACCCACGACUGCACUGCCAAGUUCAGCUCCAACCACAUCAUCAAGUUUGCUGAUGACACAACGGUGGUAGGUCUCAUCAGCAACAAUGAUAAAACACCCUACAGAGAGGAAGUGGCACAACUAGUUGAAUGGUGUGGUGCAAACAACCUGUCCCUCAACGUGAGUAAGACAAAGGAGGUUGUGAUGGACUUCAGGAAGAACUCUGUUGACCACCCCCCACUGACCAUCGACAGCUCGACUGUGGAGAGAGUCAGCAGCACUAAAUUCCUGGGGGUACACAUUACAGAAGACCUCACCUGGACCACCAACACUACAUCACUCUCCAAGAAGGCGCAACAGCGGCUCCACUUCCUGCGCCAACUUAAAAGAGCAAGUCUCCCUCCUCCCAUCCUCACCACAUUCUAUAGGGGAACAACUGAGAGUGUGCUAACCAGCUGCAUCACUGUCUGGUACGGGAACUGUAGUGCAGCAGACCGCAAGACCCUACAGCGGACAGUGAACACAGCUGCAAAGAUCAUCGGUGCCCCUCUCCCCUCCAUUCUGGACAUUUUCCUUGCACGAUGCUCCAGUAAAGCCA